rnacentral:rRNA from 1 species
GAUGAACGCUGGCGGCGUGCCUAAUACAUGCAAGUCGAGCGAACAGACGAGGAGCUUGCUCCUCUGACGUUAGCGGCGGACGGGUGAGUAACACGUGGAUAACCUACCUAUAAGACUGGGAUAACUUCGGGAAACCGGAGCUAAUACCGGAUAAUAUAUUGAACCGCAUGGUUCAAUAGUGAAAGACGGUUUUGCUGUCACUUAUAGAUGGAUCCGCGCCGCAUUAGCUAGUUGGUAAGGUAACGGCUUACCAAGGCAACGAUGCGUAGCCGACCUGAGAGGGUGAUCGGCCACACUGGAACUGAGACACGGUCCAGACUCCUACGGGAGGCAGCAGUAGGGAAUCUUCCGCAAUGGGCGAAAGCCUGACGGAGCAACGCCGCGUGAAUGAUGAAGGUCUUCGGAUCGUAAAACUCUGUUAUUAGGGAAGAGCAAAUGUGUAAGUAACUAUGCACGUCUUGACGGUACCUAAUCAGAAAGCCACGGCUAACUACGUG